rnacentral:rRNA from 2 species
AACUUUCAGCAACGGAUCUCUUGGUUCUGGCAUCGAUGAAGAACGCAGCAAAAUGCGAUAAGUA